rnacentral:rRNA from 1 species
UACGUAGGGUGCGAGCGUUGUCCGGAAUUAUUGGGCGUAAAGAGCUCGUAGGCGGCUUGUUGCGUCGACCGUGAAAACCCGCGGCUUAACUGCGGGCUUGCGGUUGAUACGGGCGGGCUAGAGUUCGGUAGGGGAGACUGGAAUUCCUGGUGUAGCGGUGAAAUGCGCAGAUAUCAGGAGGAACACCGGUGGCGAAGGCGGGUCUCUGGGCCGAUACUGACGCUGAGGAGCGAAAGCGUGGGGAGCGAACAGG